CGUAUACCCUGGUGACCACCCCUACGGUCCUGUCCCUGGCCUCUGCCUCUAGCUGGAGGUGCUGGCGCAUGCCUAACUGCCUGUGGAGCGGGUAAGGCUAACCUGCGAUGGGGACACUCGCGGGCCCAAUGAUCUAAAUCCCCACACUCAUAACACCCCUGGGACUGUCGACUGAGAGCUGAAGGUCGGCUACCCCGGCCAGAAGAACCCAUCUGUGAACUAUCUCGGCCUCGACUAGGACCGGCACUACAACCAAUAUGGCGGUGCUGAUCACCCUCUGAUGCCUGGAGAGAAGCCUGGAAGGGGCUACUAGACUGACCCGACUGAAACCUCUGCUGAGAUCUAUCAUAAGACUCUCGGGGUCUGAAACGGCGCCUAUCAUAGCUAUCCUCCUGUCUAGCUCUCUUGCCGCUGCCCCCUUGGGCCUCGCGACGGAGCUGCUCGAUAGUGCGGGCAUGGUCCACUACAUCCAGAAAUGAGCGGCCCGCUGAGACUAAAGACUGAGUCUCAAUCCGCAACUGUAGUCUCAAACCCCGAACAAAACAACGAACCCUCUCCCCCUUCAGUAGGUAAUAUCAUGGCGGCAUGCCUGGAGAGCUCGUGGAAUUGGGCCUCAUACUCUGAUACUGUCAUGGAGCCCUGCUCUAACCGAGCAAACUGAUCUCUGAGCUGAUCUCUGAUGCUCCUGGGAAUAAAUCGGGCCAAGAAGGCCUCUGAAAACUCAGUCCAUGUGACCGGUGGAGACCCAGCUGGCCUGGUCUCUAAGUAUGUACGCCACUACUGCCUGGCGGGACCGUCUAACUGGUAAGCGGUGAAGUCUGCUCCUCUCGACUCCACUAAACCCAAAGUCUGUAGCCGCUCGCGGCAAGUAAGUAGAAACUCGUGGGCAUCCUCACCCACUGCCCCAGAAAAUCUCCGCGGUGAUAGUCUAAGGAACACCCCGAGCAUCUUCUGCUCCCGUAGUGGCAUGACGCCCUCCAAAUCGUCAGGCUGAACAACCGGUGCCGCUAGCGACUGAACAACCGGUACCGCUGGUGUAAACUGGCCCUGCGGUACUGGAAUGGCUGGAGCUGGGGCCUGCUGCAUACCCCCAAUUGCAGCUAGUAUCUGUACGAGCAUCGCCUGUAUAUCUGGAGUUGCCACAAGCUCGGGCGGUGGCUAGGCUGGUCCCGGGCCCAUCGAUUGCUGCUAGAGGAUCUAUCACCGGCUCCGGAGUUUGCUCUCGGUCCUGGGCUGGUGCUGUAGCUCUGGCACGACCUCGAGGUCGGCCUCUACCCCUAGCUGGGGCCCUACGACGCGUGCGAGCCAUCCCUAUCAAAGAGUGGUACAAAUAAGAAAUUCAGAAACCGAUAAGACACACAAUGCACGACAGUGAUACAAAAGCGACACGUACCUAAAGACAUGUUGUAGCCUCCCGAAGAUAAGUAACGGACGUCUCCGUACCGAUCUGUAGGACUCUACUAGACAUUAGCUCUGUACAAGUGAGACCGACGAACCUGGGGCUCUGAUACCAAUUUGUCACGACCCGAUUUAUGAAGUCAUGAUGGCACCUACUAUAACCCACCAGCAGGUAAGCCAACCCGUAACCCGGAACAACAAGUAAUGGGUCUGAGGGUACAAAUUAAACAAUAGUAGGCAAAAAACAAUAUAAACAGACGGAAGCAACACAAAAACAUCUAUACAAAUAAAGAUCCCUACCAGAACCUGGAAGUCACCAGUACAGAGAUACUACAAAAUGAGUACAAGUCCCAAAACUGGACAACAGAGACUGGACUAUCUCGAAAGGAAAAAGACAAGUCUAUAUAUACAGAUGGAGACUGAAAUAAUACAAAAUGCCGUGUGCUCACCCCCGCUCCGGAUAAGUCUACUCCAAGCUCGAUCAACGCUGGCUACUAGUGCUCGGACCUGCAUCACUAAAUAGAUGCAGAGCGUAUCAUGAGUACCAAAACAACAGUUACCCAGUAAGCAUCAUAGGACGACUGAGAAAGAUAAUUAAAAGUGAACUGAAAUGCAAAUAAAGGGUCACAUCAAGGCAAAAGAGUAGUAAAUGGGGGUAUGUACACGAGCGUACAGGCAACAAAGACAAGUAAUCUAACUAACUCCGCCGAGCUCCCAUAAACCCGACGGGUACGCUCGUGCAAAAUAAAAGAAACCACCUGCACGGACCCCCAUAAGCCCGGCAGAUGCACCGGCAGUUGAAGUAAAAUAAUGGAGCUAGAAGGUCUAUCAAAAUAUUACCCAUUUACGGACUUUUAACUAAACCAUUCACAAUUAUAUUGCAAGAUCUCAUUACGUCCCGGACUUUAAUCGGAAUCUCUCCAACUUCCAAAACCUCAACCUACAGAUGAGAGUAAUCAAAACUAAACUGAAGCUUUAGUGAGGAAUUGGGAAUGCACCACGUGCAAGCUGGACCACGGACUCGAACCGGGUACUAUAGCUAAUGAGCCAACCUAUAUGGGCUGGACCACGGACUCGAACCGGGUGCUGUAGCCAAAGGUCGGGCACGGGUGGGCUCGACCACGGACUCUAACCCGGUACUGUAGCCAAAACCAGAUCACAGGUAAGCUGGACCACGGACUCUAACCGGGUACUGUAGCUAAGCCUGGACAUAAGUAAGCUGAACCACGGACUUUAACCGGGUACUGUAGCUAAUAGAAAAGCAGGGCAUUAUGGAUACAAGGUCAUAAGCUGAGUUACCGACUAUAAGACUCAAGUCUCCUAUAUCAGUCUACAAGGAACUGACCGUCCGAAACGACGUCGGAAAAAGUUCUACUGCCCAACGACAUCUGAAACCUCGUAAGUCUAUCGCAACACUAGUCUAAGCCUAGACUAAGGCCAAACAUACUUCAAAUCAAUAUUAUCAUAUACACCACAAGGUAUGGAUGUUCAAUAAUAUCAAGAGACAUGCUGUCAUAAUCCAACACUUUCCCGAAAUCAGGUCUAAGGCAGUAAUUACAGAAAUUUAGCAUGGUCGACACCCGAACCCCUCCAUACUCAAGAAAAUCAAUAAACAAAUGCCUAAACAUGCUCAAUCUCACGAGGGAAAGCCAUAGCCUACCUGAAAAUCGAUCACGCGUGCUCCAACUCACGAUACCGGAUCUUUUCCCCUCCGAACGUCUCCAAAUCAUGAGUGGGAUAGUUGCAUUCGUGCGACUUAAGCUGCCUUGACGCAUAAGCAAUAACGCGGCCCUGCUGCAUCAGUACAUAACCCAAACCAAUGCCGGAUGCGUCACAAUAAACAGUAAACCCCUCUCCCUCAACUGGAAGAGUCAAUAUAGGAGCGGUGGUAAGCAACUCCUUAAGCCUCAGAAAGCUCCUCUCACACUCCUCCGACCACACAAACGGAAUAUCCUGGUGAGUCAACAGAGUCAAAGGCGCUGUUAUAGUAGAAAAUCCCUCAACAAAACGCCUAUAGUAGCCUGCCAAUCCUACGAAGCUACGAAUGUCAGUCACAGAGGUGGGCCUGGCCGAAUCACGAAUGGCUUCAAUCUUAACGGGAUCUACCAUAAUGCCAUCCUUAGACACCACGUGCCCCAAGAAUGAUACGGACUCAAGCCAAAACUCGCACUUUGAAAACUUGGCAUAAAGCCACUGAUCUCUCAAAGUCUGGAGCACUAUCCUCAAAUGCUGCUCAUGCUCACUCCGGCUCCGCGAGUAUACCAGUAUGUCAUCAAUAAAGACAAUGACAAAUAAAUCAAGGUAUGGCCUGAACACACGUGUCAUCAAGUCCAUGAAAGCAGCAGGGGCAUUAGUCAACCCAAAUGACAUCACCAAGAAUUCAUAAUGACCAUAACGGGUCCUAAAUGCAGUCUUAGGGAUGUCUGCUGCCCUAAUCCUCAGCUGAUGGUACCCGGACCUCAAAUCAAUCUUAGAAAACACGGCGGCACCCUGAAGCUGAUCAAACAAAUCAUCAAUACGAGGCAUGGGGUAACAGUUCUUCACCGUCACCUUGUUCAGCUGCCUGUAAUCAAUACACAUCCUCAUAGUCCCGUCCUUCUUCUUCACAAACAGAACAGGAGAACCCCAAGGCGACACACUCGGACGGAUAAAACCCUUACCUAAGAGAUCCUCUAACUGAACACUAAGCUCCCUGAGCUCUGCAGGAGCCAUCCGGGUUGGCGGAAUAGAAAUAGGCCGAGUACCUGGCUCAAGCUCAAUCGGAAAAUCAACAUCACGCUCUGGGGGUAGGCCAGGUAGGUCUGUAGGGAACACAUCUGCAAACUCUCUAACCACAGGAACUGGUCAUGAAGAGGACUGCGGCACCCCAUGGCGAUACACUAGGCCGAAUGAAUCCCUUAUCUAAGAGAUCCUGAAUCUGAACACUGAACUCCUUGAGCUCUAUGGGGGCCAUACGGUACGGUGGUAAAGAAAUGGGCUUAGUGCUCGGCUCUACUUCAAUAGCAAAGUCAAUGUCACGAUCAGGACGGAGACCAGGCAGAUCGACAGGAAACACAUCUGUAAACUCUCGAACAAUAGGUACAGAAUCAACGGUAGGACCCUCCCUACUAACAUCUCUAACAUAAGCUAAAUAAGUCAAACACCCGCUAGCCAUCAACAUCUGGGCCCAAACAAAAGAUAUCACCCCAACUGGUGUGCGACUACAAAAGACCUGCCACACCACUGGUGGAAUACCAGGCAUGGCUAAAGUAACGGUCUUAGCAUAGCAAUCCAAGACCGCAUGGUGGGGAGAUAACCAAUCCAUACUCAAAAUCAAAUCAAAAUCCACCAUAUCAAGCAAAAUAAGAUCAACCCUAGUGUAUCGCUUCUGAAUAGUCACCACACAGGAUCUGAUCCACUACUAAAGAAUCACCUACCGGGUUGAAACACGCAACGGCUCAACCAAUAGCUCUGGGAUCAUACUAAAUCGAGGAGCACAAUAAACAGAUAUAUAGGAAUAAGUAGAGCCUGGAUCAAAUAAAGUGGAUGCGGGCUGAUGGAAUAAUAACACUGUACAUGUGAUCACAUCAUCCGAGGUCUCAGCAUCUACUCUAGUUGGAGCUGCAUAAAAGUGGUCCUGGGCUCCCCUACCCUGUGUAUCGGCUCUACCCCCUAACCUGCCUCAUCAGGGACCACCCCGUAUACCCUGGUGACCACCCCUACGGUCCUGUCCCUGGCCUCUGCCUCUAGAGGAAGGUGCUGGCGCUGGCGCAUGCCUAGCUGCCUGCGAAGCGGGUAAGGCUAACCUGCGGUGGGGACACUCGCGGGCCCAAUGAUCUAACUCCCCACACUCAUAACACCCCUGGGACUGUCGAGUGAGAGCUGGAGGUCGGCUACCCCGGCCAGAAGAACCCAUC
rnacentral:lncRNA from 1 species